CCUACGGGUGGCAGCAGUAGAGAAUCAUUCACAAUGGGGGAAACCCUGAUGGAGCGACGCCGCGUGGGGGAAUGAAGGUCUUCGGAUUGUAAACCCCUGUUAUGUGGGAGCAAAUUCAAAAGAUAGUACCUCAAGAGGAAGAGACGGGUAACCCUGGGCCAGCAGCCGCGGUAAGACAGAGGUCUCAAGCGUUGUUCGGCAUCACUGGGCGUAAAGCGUGCGUAGGCUGUUUUGUAAGUCGUGUGUGAAAGGUGCGGGCUCAAACCGCGGAGGGCACAUGAUACUGCGAGACUAGAGUGAUGGAGGGGGAAGCGGAAUGCGCGGUGUAGCAGUGAAAUGCGUAGAUAUCGAGAAGAACACUCGUGGCGAAGGCGGGUUACUGGACAUUAACUGACGCUGAGGCACGAAGGCCAGGGGAGCGAAAGGGAUUAGAUACCCGAGUAGUC
rnacentral:rRNA from 1 species